UACGUAGGUGGCGAGCGUUGUCCGGAUUUAUUGGGCGUAAAGCGCGUGCAGGUGGUUGGUCAAGGCCGAUGUAAAAUCUCCCGGCUCACCUGGGAGGGCGCGUUGGCGACUGGCCGACUGGAGGCAGGUAGAGGCCGGUGGAAUUCCCGGUGUAGUGGUGAAAUGCGUAGAUAUCGGGAGGAACACCAGUGGCGAAAGCGGCCGGCUGGGCCUGUCCUGACGCUGAGACGCGAAAGCGUGGGGAGCGAACCGG
rnacentral:rRNA from 1 species